CCACGGCUGGGCCGCAGUAAUCUGCCCUCCCACGUGAGUGGCAGGGUCCCAUGUGUUUAAGCCAUUGUCUUCUGCCAGCAGGGUGGGCAUCGGCAGGAAGCUAGAGUCCAACUGGACGCAGACCCUCCUUGUGGAACAUAAACUCCUAGUGGGGCAGCAUCCUAAUACCCGUGCCAGACACCCCUCUCAAGUCUGGGCCAGGAGUUCCAGCGGGGCUCCCGUGGUGGGUAGCUAGGGUCACCAUUCACUGCCUUCCCAGGUGCGACAACAGGAAGCUGGAUUGGGAGCAGAAUAGCCAGGACCUGAACCAGCGUCUGAUGCUGAAUGCCAGGAUCGCAAGCCCACCACGCCGCCAGGCUAGCUGCGCAGCCUGUGGUGUCUUUAAGAGCCUUCACUUUCUCCCACUGUGUGCAGGGAACGUAUUCCCCAGCGUGUUCAUUUUUACCCAACAGGUAGAUUACAAAACGGCAGGCAAACCAACUGCGUUCCGGUUUGUAUUUCUUUAAUACACAUUUCACUGCCAGCAAGAUUGAGUGGAUUUCCCCAGCUGUGUGUGCGUGCCCUUUGCCGCUUCCUCCUGGUUAGUCAUCGGUUGGAAAGAGCGCCCCAGGUAUUAGGGAAAUGAGCUUUCAUCUCAUUUUCCUCCCUGGACGUCUGGCCUGUGUGCCACGGAUACUCUUUAUUAUCACUUUACUAUUUGUUUUACUUUGUUGAUGGUGUUUUUCAUUGUCCCUCGUGCCUCCUCAAAGAGUCACAUGGGUGGUGGAUGGUAGCCGCCCUUGCACCCAAUUCUCCGGGCAGGCUUUGGGGGGUGCAGGUGGACUCCUGGCAGGUGGCUCAGCGGGGGAGGCAAGACUUGCUGCAUUGGUCCAAUCCCCGGAGCCUUCACUCUUUUGCUGUCCUCACCUGCCCUGCAGGUGACUGGCUUUUCCAGAAGAGCCCUUUUGAUGGUGAAAAGUGAUACGUGUUUUUUCUAAAGUGCUUCUAAAAACUGUUCUUCAAUUCUAUAAUUAGUUGGUCGUUCUUAAAAGCAAAGCCUCCUGCAGCGUAGUUAAAACAGAACUGGGCAAGGGCCCACACCUUGCCCCCCACAGGUGGUCUCUCAGGUCAUUCACCCUUGUGUAACCCUGGCUGCUAGGCAGGAGAGAAAACCCUCUCCCCUGCCCCCCCCCCCCCCGGGGACUGGAUGGGUCCUGCUGGGCCCCGCCUCCAGUGUCUCUGUACCAUAGGAACACCCGAGGGCUGAGUGGAGCGUGAGUUCCGAUUCCAGCCUGACCGCUGGGUGGCUAUCCUGGCGCAGAGCGCCCUCGCUUUCUGCCGCCUCCUUUCUGGAUCCACUUGGCCCUGGGUAGUGGUCGAGGUCAGAAGCUAUCAGCGCUGACAAUCAGCCUGCUUCCUUCUCACCUUCGCUCCGACAGCCUCCGGGCUGAGGAGGGAGGGAGGGAGGCACCUCGCCAAGGUCACACAGCACCACGGUGGCAAGGGCCACAGUGUCUGGUCUCCGGACUCAUGACAUCACUGGCCCGGCUUCCCGGUGGUGGCGGGGCCGCUGCGUAAGCCCGGCUCCUCUGGCCUGCUGUCUCGCCGCUUCUGGGCACCAGAGGGCGCUUCCCCGAAGGCCGCCUGCAGGACUGCAGCCCUGGCUGCCACUGCCCCUGCGGAGGGACGCUCGUGUCGCGGGGCCCCCUCGCGAACCGGAGCCGGUGCUCAUCCCGCUGCCGCCGCACGCCUGGAGGGGUACCCUCGCUUUGUGUUUAGGGUCAACCCCACCCCACCCCCGUAUCCAGGCCACCUUCAGGACGCCUGACUCGGGCCGAGCCCACCCCAUGCUUUGGAAUUGUUGCUCGCUCCGGGUUGUGGGGAAGGUCUGUUGCAGGGAUUUGGGGCGCUGCCGGUGGCCACACACCAUCCCCCAGGUCCUGGAAGGAAAGGCGCGGGACCCGGGUGGGGGGACGCCAGCGGGCCCUGGCGUAUCGUGCUGUGCAACACUGAGCCUCAAUCUUCUCAUCUGCGAAAUGGGGAGGAGGUUGGAG